UACGGAGGGUGCAAGCGUUAUCCGGAUUCACUGGGUUUAAAGGGUGCGUAGGUGGCUUUGUAAGUCAGUGGUGAAAUGCUUCCGCUUAACGGAAGAACUGCCAUUGAUACUGCUUAGCUUGAAUCAGGUGGAGGCGGAUGGAAUAUUACAUGUAGCGGUGAAAUGCUUAGAUAUGUAAUAGAACACCGAUUGCGAAGGCAGUUCGCUACGCCUGAAUUGACACUGAGGCACGAAAGCGUGGGGAUCAAACAGG
rnacentral:rRNA from 1 species